CAUAACUAAUCAUCUGAUCUGUUACUUAUUAAUGCAACGUGGUUGUUUACGCAAAAAAAGAUGAUUAUAUUGAAGAGAUCUUGUAAAACCAAAACAGACAGACCAUCAUAAACUCACGGGUGGCGAAUUUACGAAUUCAUAAUACACAACAUGGAAGCAAGUAGGCCUCUACUAGAAUAGAAAUGUAUUUUCUAUAUGUAGGCAUACAAAAUACAUGAAAUGUUAGUUAUAUUCACAUCACAAAAUAUUAUGUACCAUUGCAUACACUCUUCAGCACUGUAAGUAUUUUGCCAUGCCAGAAAUUUGUUCCUAGUCAACCCACCUGUUCUUUUGCGUUUUAUGUUUGAUCACCUAUUACAUUAAAAACGACGGUAAAUCGAGAGAUUUUACCCCAACCUCCAUUGGAGAGCCUGUUUUCAUCUUACUAUUAUAACAAGAACCAUAAUCCGGCUGGAUAACUUAUGCUUCUCCGUUCCAGAAAGGAGUUCCAAAUAAAUUGUAUAUCCUUGCAGAGGGUAUUAUAACUUUUUUGUGAAAAGUGCAACGCAUAGAAGGAGACAUCUCCGACCCCAUAAAGUGUAUAUAUUCUUGAUCAGUAUCAACAGCCGAAUCGGGUUUUUUGGCUAACCCUAUAUAGUUUUGCAUGAGAAACCGAUUUCAGGCGGCGAGAAGUAGUUAUAUUGCCUAUGUAAAGUAUUAGGAAUAAAAAUUGUUCGACGAAUAAAAUUAGAUUAUAAUCGA